UGAGGAAUAUUGGUCAAUGGGGGCAACCCUGAACCAGCCAAGUCGCGUGAAGGAUGAAGGUCUUAUGGAUUGUAAACUUCUUUUACACGGGAAUAAAGUGGGGGACGUGUCCCCCUUUGCAUGUACCGUGUGAAUAAGGAUCGGCUAACUACGUGCCAGCAGCCGCGGUAAUACGUAGGGUGCAAGCGUUAAUCGGAAUUACUGGGCGUAAAGCGUGCGCAGGCGGUUCGGAAAGAAAGGUGUGAAAUCCCAGGGCUUAACCUUGGAACUGCACGUUUAACUACCGGGCUAGAGUACGUCAGAGGGGGGUAGAAUUCCACGUGUAGCAGUGAAAUGCGUAGAGAUGUGGAGGAAUACCGAUGGCGAAGGCAGCCCCCUGGGAUGAUACUGACGCUCAUGCACGAAAGCGUGGGGAGCAAACA
rnacentral:rRNA from 1 species